AUGCUGUUUAUCAGGUUAAUGGAAAUGCUGCUGGAGCAAGAGCUAAUCUUAAAACAUCACCCAAUGGAAAGCGUUCCAUUAAAGCUGCCAUUAGUAACAUGAAUUCAAGUGUCUCUGCCAGCUACAAUGAAUCUUCAGGUUCCAAGGCUGUUAGACCUGAUAAGAAAAGGAAGGUUGUUUUCGAAGCCAACUUUAGGAAUGGAUAUGAAGAAAAGGGAUUGAAUUCUGCUCCAGAAGUGG
rnacentral:misc_RNA from 1 species